AAAUAAGUAAAUAGAUAAAUAAAUAAAGGCUAGAAAGAGAACGCUUUAGGAAGGACAACUACAAUAUUUUUCUUAACAGAUGAUCCACAUACUGAAUGACGUGAAAAAAAAAAAAUCAAUAAAUAGUAAAGUGGCAUCUUUUCCCUACGUCGGGAAUCACGAAAUCAACAUUUCUUUACGUCAUGAGUAGAGAAUUUAACACACGUCAAUGUCACUCGGCUAGAUAAUUAAAUGAAAGACCAUUACUAACUGAAAGAUGUUUGUAAUGGUGCACAAUGCGUUUCGUGGGCGGCAGUUGAAUACUGUCGAGAUCACACAAAUCAUAUUGCCACCUCCAGCAUAACUGACCUAAUUUCACUCUUGGGUAGUGAUUUGUCUGAUUUCUUGUCUUAGUAACUCUUUCGGUGCCAUUGUUCUUCUCUAACAGUCUAACUGCUCACAGGUGAACCGUCCUGCUGUAUCUGCAUAGAUUUCCUCGUAAACAGAAGCAUUAAUAGACACGCAAUAAUUUCAUAAUUUGUUUUUAACUUACUCAUUCUAUAAUUAUCUGAAAAAAAAAACUUGCUUUGUUUAGUCUACAUUGAUCCACGACACAUAUUCCGGGUUUCUCUAUUGAAUUUCAGUCUCUCGCUGUAGUUUAUUUCUGAAUUCACUCAUGAGAACACUGUCAUCUGAAAAUGCUAAAUUGUUUGUGCAUUCUCUAUUUACCUUAGUUUCCAUUCUAAGUUCUUCAAAAUGUUCUGUAAUAUCAUUUUUUUUUAUUUAUUGGGUGAUCUUAGGAGCUUUACAAAGGCAGUGUGUACCUUGCUUUGGAAGAUAUGAACACAUUUUUCUAACGAAUGGCGAGUCAGAAAUGGACAUGGAAGGAAACGAAUAGCGGAACGAAAAAUUAAAUCCGUUUUAUUGUUAAAGAUAAACCGAACAAGAUUAAAAACUAAAGAAAAUCAUAUAUACACAUGUGCAUGAGUGAUUGCGUGUAUUAAGGCGGGUUCACGACUGAAAUUUCAAGACGUUAGAAGUAUCGAUUGAGCUUUUCUAGUCGGAGCAUGUUCAUACAUAGCGACUGGGAUGUAUCAGCUGGAUGGCAGGAAGUGAUUGUAAACAAACAGCUGCCCAACAAGAUAUCUUCCUCUGGUGACGAUGACGAUUGCGAUCAAAUUAAAUUAUCACAAGUAUUCAAUCUCGCCUCCAACAACACCCCGCAUAGAGGGAAGCAGUCAUUGCAGAGUGGCAGCUAUAUCUCAUCGAACGCCGAUUUGCGUUUUCUUUUUUCUUUUUUAUUUUUUGUAGAAUUCAUUUUUAGGGUCCCAGAUGUGCUACUUUUCCCUCACCAACUCCAAAAUCUUCUUCUCUACAUCGACACCACAUUUUCAAAUCUUUCUCCGUGACGUCACAGCAUAAAUAGAGUCGCAAAGUGAUUGAACAAGACCAACAUGUUGAUCUUGUUUUGCGACUGGUUUUUCCAGCCGAUAAGCACCUGUAAUAUCAAUCUCAAAUUGACGUGUGAAUCUCGCCUUUACUCAUGUGAUUACAUGGAUUGAAAAGCAAGGGGACGUAAGUUAGGGUAGACUGAGUAGGGCACCGCAACAGGAGGAGGUAUACAUAGGCUGACUCGCAACCAAACUGUGUGUGUGUGUGUGUGUGUGUGUGUGUGUGUGUGUGUGUGUGUGUGUGUGUGUGUGUGUGAAUAAAGUGUCACCAGCUGUCUGUCACCCUCCCCAUUUCCAUCGCUUCAGUGCUAUCCAUCCGUCUGGCUGGCAACCUUUCGAUGAAACGGAAGGAAGGUUCAUCGUCGUUUUUCGUUACUGAACGUUUCAUAUCCGCUUCACUGUUGCUGAAUGUCAUAUCCCCAGGUGUGCCGCUGACUUUCUCUCCUGUGUUAAGCGCUGAAGAAAGAUGUACUCAAUUUCCCAUCAUAAUCACAAAGGAUAAGUGAGACUGAAGGACGGAAAAGAAAAUGACAUUUGUAAGCAACGUUUGGACUUGGAGGCCUCAAGAACAAUACCACUGCCUGCCACAUCCCGGAGCGACACGAACAGGCCACGUCACACAUUGACAAGAUACUAUGAUGUCUGCAGUAGCACAUCCUACCAGAGAGAGAGAGAGAGAGAGAGAGAGAGAGAGAGAGAGAGAGAGAGAGAGAGAGAGAGAGAGAGAGAGAGAGAGAGAGAGAGAGAGAGAAUUUCUUUGACCCAAUCUUAGUCAAAGAGGAUUGUACAUAACUCGAGAUGUGGAGUGUACUUCACUUGUAUGGCGUGAAGGGCAGCGCAUAUAGAGACAACCAACAACAUGGAUACAAGUUCCUUCCUCAGUGCAUAUCGUCUCUUUGCGGGACGAAGAGAUAUGUGAACAAGGAACUAACUUUGUAGCGGCUAAAUAAGAAUAUGAGAUGAGUAGGGAAGAAAUGAA